rnacentral:misc_RNA from 1 species
GAACGCACAUUGCGCCCCCUGGUAUUCCGGGGGGCAUGCCUGUUCGAGCGUCAUUUCAACCUUCAAGCUCUGCUUGGUAUUGGGCCUGCGCUGGUCUCCCAGCGGGCCUCAAAAUCAGUGGCGGUGCCAUCUGGCUUCAAGCGUAGUAACACAUCUCGCUUCUGGAGACCCAGGUGGUUGCCUGCCAGCAACCCCAUCUUCUCAGGUUGACCUCGGAUCAGGUAGGGCUACCCGCUGAACUUA